UGGUCAUUAUCAAGGCUUUUAGAAUGCAGUCUCUCAUUUUGCUGUGCACAUGACCAAAAAGCAUUUUCCCACUAGGUUUUUUUUUCUGCUAUGUUAGCAGUGUUCAGCUUAUUUGGGAACAUUU
rnacentral:snoRNA from 1 species